CAUUGGUCCUCUCGCAAUGCUAGUAGGUUAACCUGGUCAGGUCCGGAAGGAAGCAGCCACAGCUUAUGAUGCAGGUGCCGGGAUGUGGCUGGUGGAG
rnacentral:SRP_RNA from 3 species